UCAUUAAAAAUUCCUAAAAGAAAACCAACUGAAAAAAAAAUCGAUAAGCCAAUUGAAAACAAGACAAAAUCCAUGGUUUGGGCCAAACCGAACCCUAAUCAAACCCAACCGAUCUAUAGCCAAUUAGAAAGCUCUAGAAAUCCACAAAACCCAUUUUUGUCCUGAUUUUCUCUUCCCUUCCCGAUUCCAGCAAUAGCCCACUUUCCCCUUUCCCCUUUUCCGUUUUUGCAAUUUCCAACCAUCUGAGCUCGACUUUGGCUGAUUGGACUUCUUUUGCGUAGCCAUCGCUUCUCGGCCACCACUCUUUCCAUUUCCAGCCUGUCAUAGUGUUGCAAACAAGAGAGAGAGAGAGAGAGAGAGAGAGAGCUGCUGAGAUUCUUUCCUUUCCGAUCGACACAGCUCGCCUUCAAUGCUUCUCUCUCAUUUCCAACGACAUCAAACCUUAACUGGCCAACCCACCUCAUCCCUAGCACCUCGCAAGCACCGUUCCUCCAUCUUCGGUUAACUACAGUUAGUAACUAGCGAGAAAACCUUAAUAUUGCUAAAACUUAAGUAGGUAGUUAGUCCUAUUUUUAAAUGAGGUUCUGCCAAAAUUUC
rnacentral:lncRNA from 1 species